GCUGGUGUAGCUCAGUUGGCAGAGCAACUGAUUCGUAAUCAGUAGGUCGGGGGUUCGACUCCCCCCAUUAGCU
rnacentral:tRNA from 1 species